UACGUAGGGUGCAAGCGUUAAUCGGAAUUACUGGUCGUAAAGCGUGCGCAGGCGGCGAUGUAAGACAGAUGUGAAAUCCCCGGGCUCAACCUGGGAACUGCAUUUGUGACUGCAUCGCUGGAGUACGGCAGAGGGGGAUGGAAUUCCGCGUGUAGCAGUGAAAUGCGUAGAUAUGCGGAGGAACACCGAUGGCGAAGGCAAUCCCCUGGGCCUGUACUGACGCUCAUGCACGAAAGCGUGGGGAGCAAACAGG
rnacentral:rRNA from 1 species